GUCGAGAAUCUUCCGCAAUGCGCGAAAGCGUGACGGAGCGACACCGCGUGAUGGAUGAAGUCCUUCGGGGCGUAAACAUCUUUUAUAAAGGAGGAAAUUUUUGACGUUACUUUAUGAAUAAGGGGCUCCCAAUCUCGUGCCAGCAGGAGCGGUAAUACGAGAGCCUCAAGCGUUAUCCGGAAUCAUUGGGCGUAAAGGGUGCGGAGGUGGUUUGAUUAGUCUCCCGUUAAAACUUCGAGCUUAACUCGAAAAGAGCGGGGGAAACGGUCAAACUAGAGUAUGUGAGAGGUGUGUGGAACUCAUGGUGUAGGGGUGAAAUCCGUUUAUAUCAUGGGGAACACCAAAAGCGAAGGCAGCACACUGGCACAUCACUGACACUGAGGCACGAAACCUAAGGUAGCGAAUGGGAUUAGAUACCCUGGUAGUCC
rnacentral:rRNA from 1 species